GACAGAGGCCUCAAGCGUUAGGCGGAAUCACUGGGCUUAAAGCGUGUGUAGGCGGAUCGUUAAGUGUCUUGUGAAAUCCCACGGCUCACCCGUGGAACUGCUGGGCAUACUGGCGAUCUUGGGCCAACUAGGGGCAGCCGGAACAAGCGGUGGAGCGGUGAAAUGCGUAGAUAUCGCUUGGAACGCCGAAGGUGAAAACAGGCUGCUGGGGGUUGUGC
rnacentral:rRNA from 1 species